UACGUAGGGGGCAAGCGUUGUCCGGAAUCAUUGGGCGUAAAGCGCGUGUAGGCGGUCCGGUAAGUCCGCUGUGAAAGUCGGGGGCUCAACCCUCGGAUGCCGGUGGAUACUGUCGGGCUUGAGUACGGAAGAGGCGAGUGGAAUUCCUGGUGUAGCGGUGAAACGCGCAGAUAUCAGGAGGAACACCAAUUGCGAAGGCAGCUCGCUGGGACGUUACUGACGCUGAGACGCGAAAGCGUGGGGAGCAAACAGG
rnacentral:rRNA from 1 species